GGGGCAUAGCUCAGCUGGUUAGAGCACCUGCCUUACAAGCAGGGGGUCACAGGUUCGAGUCCUGUUGCCCCC
rnacentral:tRNA from 1 species